rnacentral:rRNA from 1 species
AGAGUUUGAUCAUGGCUCAGAACGAACGCUGGCGGCAGGCUUAACACAUGCAAGUCGAACGAUGUAGCAAUACAUAGUGGCGCACGGGUGAGUAACGCGUGGGAACGUGCCCUUUGGUUCGGAAUAUUCCCGGGAAACUGGGAGCAAAACCGGAUAAGCCCUUCGGGGGAAUGUUUACGCCAAAGGAUCGGCCCGCGUUAGAUUAGGUAGUUGGUGGGGUAACGGCCUACCAAGCCUACGAUCUAUAGCUGAUCUGAGAGGAUGAUCAGCCACACUGGGACUGAGACACGGCCCAGACUCCUACGGGAGGCAGCAGUGGGGAAUCUUGGACAAUGGGCGCAAGCCUGAUCCAGCCAUGCCGCGUGGAUGACUGAAGGCCCUAGGGUUGUAAAGUCCUUUCGACGGGGACGAUAAUGACGGUACCCGUAGAAGAAGCCCCGGCUAACUUCGUGCCAGCAGCCGCGGUAAUACGAAGGGGGCUAGCGUUGUUCGGAUUUACUGGGCGUAAAGGGCGCGUAGGCGGAUUUUUAAGUCGGGGGUGAAAUCCCGGAGCUCAACUCCGGAACUGCCUUCGAUACUGAAAGUCUGGAGCACGGUAGAGGUGAGUGGAAUUCCGAGUGUAGAGGUGAAAUUCGUAGAUAUUCGGAGGAACACCAGUGGCGAAGGCGGCUCACUGGACCGUUGCUGACGCUGAGGCGCGAAAGCGUGGGGAGCAAACAGGAUUAGAUACCCCGGUAGUCC